UGAUCACAUGCGUUUUUUUUUUUGUUUUUUUUUUUGUUUUUUUUUUUUUUUGGUUUUUCCGAGACAGGGUUUCUCUGUGUAGCCCUGGCUGUCCUGGAACUCAUUUUGUAGACCAGGCUGGCCUCGAACUCAGAAAUCCGCCUGCCUCUGCCUCCCGAGUGCUGGGAUCACAUGCGUUUUAUUUACCCUGUUUUCACACUCAGACAAAUCUACCCAGUCCCCAGUGAGGCAAGGGCUAGAGUGUUUGUAAAGCACCUGCCCUCUGUGAUCUAAAUAGAGAGUUCCAGAAGGAAGCAGGUGUUUGUCACUGCCUAGGAAGAAGUUUGUUAGAGGGUGGGAAAGACUGGCUUCCUGGUCUGUCUUCUGGUAAAGACCUGGAACUCAGAAAUUAAGAGAAGUCCCCUUUUGGGACCAAGAUUCUACCAUUUUGACACAAAUAAAGUGAGUGGCACUAUUGUCUCCAUUUCUUUACUAAGUAAUGAGUUCAGGGUGGGGGACAAUAGCCCUGAGGGACACUAGAAAAGGUGCCAGUUUGGGGGAAAUUGGGUAUUUGCUAAAUGUCUGCAGCUGAACUUACCCACCCAAACUUCAAGUUAGCAAGUUAGUACUCUCAGGAGGUGACCUAUCCCAUGAUGCUUCAUGAUGCUCCUGUACAGAAAGGGUUCAACACUGCUGUGUUGGGACCCCUUCCAGUGUCUCCUCGGAAGCUACCACAGGAACUUCUGAGAAGGCAUUGAGGAGAGGAAGGGAGCCAGAGGCCCUGAGGGGAGCUGCGACACUCUGCCCUGGCAUUGUGUUAAUUUCCUGUCUGCUAGUAAAUCAUUAUCCUUGUUGGAUCUUGUCUAGCUUUCAACACAGGUACAAAACGUUUUAAAUAAAAAUGAGAACAUUAACAAUAUUUAUUAUUUUUUUUCUUGCCAAGAUUCCAUCUGGUCAAAGACAAACUUAAAGCCACAUGCCCAAGGUACCCAGGGUACCAGCAAGCCUCUCCCUAGCCCAAACCAAAAAUGUCCCGCAUACUUCGAAGCAUUUUCUUUGUCAUUUUUGACCCGAACGACAUCCCUUCAAAGGCCAUCAAGAUGCCCCUGACAGUUGCCUCUGAGAGAACCUUUGAGGCCUUUCCUCUUAUUGCAGAGACUUCCAGUGUCCCUCAGUGCUUGAGCGACAUUCCUUCAAGGGCUUCUAGAGGCAGAUCCCAAGUUGAUACAUAAGAAACGCUCGGUUACAGAAAACUGUAUGUUAGUUUACAGUUUAAAAGAGAAACUCUUGCAAGCAGUAAACCAAACAAAGAGGAUAGGAUAAAUAACACUCUUGAUUGGUCUGCAGAGGUGGAGAUGGGGACCCAGUUGCUUCUAGACCCUGAAUUCUUCAAACAUCUGCCCAAAGAUUUCAGCCUGCUCUUGAGAUUCCCACAGCUAGAAGAGGAACCCAAGAACCUAACUCUGGGGUGAGGCAGAAUCCCUGGCCCACCAUUUCUGAGGCUAGAGAGAAGGCUGAAGAAUCUACUCUGCUCCUAGGGUAGGGGAUAUUUGGAGCAGCGGCUCCCAUAAGGUCUCUGGGUAGUAGUAAAUGCAACCACCAGCCCCAGCUUUCUCAAAGGCCAGAGAUGUGCGUUUUACCCUUCUACCCCGCCCCAUAUUCCCCCUCUCUCCCCAUAAAGAAUUUAGCAUUUAGUAGAGUGGGGGAGGGGGAGGGGAGACCACCAGCCUGGAUCUUCAAGUUCAAUGGCAAAGUCCCUGACCCCCACAGACUGGGUGCCCACAGUCGUUGCUUUCCUCUUCCCAUAAUUCUGGGGGCUACUGCAUUCCUUUGCUGCCUCUCCUGUUUCAGGGGGCAAUUAGGGGAGGCUAAGGGUAAUGGUGGCAUUCUUUCUUUCACAGUCUCGGACCACUCCGUGCCCUUCCCCCACCCCCCACAACUAGUAGUCGUGAAAGGAAGGCAGGCUGGCAUCUGUUCCCCCAUUGGAUGUUUUGAAUCUCUCUUCCAGCCCCAACCAGAGCCGGGAGGAGGGACGGUGCCCCGCGCUUGGGCAGGAGGAGGUGGGCGGCUCCUGAGUUUCCCCUACGUCUGCCCCGACAGAGAGUGUUCAGGUGGGUGAGCUUGUGGUAUAAAUGCCUUUCAAAAACCACUGAAACCUCUUCCCUUCGUCUUUUCCACCACAGCCGCCUGGGCGCUUUAUGGCAGUCGACGGUAACGAGUUCAUUUAUUUAAUUCGAGAUUGUACUCUGGGGUUUCUAUUAGAUGGGACUGGGGUAGGGAUGGGGCGCGGUUUCCCCGAAAGAAACCUAAUUAAAGUGCAGCGCUUAGAAACUUGAAUGGGGGUGGGGUGGGGGAAGCUGGGAACCCUCUCUGUGUUGGGGGGAGGGGAACCGGCAACCCUUCCGAGCUGGAGGAGGAGCCUGCAUGCUAGAGCUGUCUUUAAGCAAUCCCCAGUAAUAGAAUGCUCAGGAGAGGUAAAACACAUUUUCAUUACGCUGCAAACCUACCAGCGUUCUCCUACCUCCCCAACCCCCGGAAGUGUUUGCCUGCAUUAGUAAAAGGCCGGAACUUGAAAGCCUGGGGGUCACCCUUCGCUUUGCUGUGGCUGGGACCUAGAUUCAAAAGAGCUUCCGGAAGCCCUGUCCACACACUUGCCACAAUCCACUCAUUGGACCUCUAGAGGCCUAAUACAGUCCACCUGCUUAGUCGUUAAGAGUGAUAUUGGCACUAGGGUGUAGACACCCUACAAAGGGUGUCUUUGUUUUUUGUUUUUUUUGUUUUUUGUUUUUUAAAAUGGUACAUUGGAAUCCAGUUUCGUUACUCUGAGCUGGAGGAACUGAAAUGGGUCGGAGGGAAGGGGAGGGUAUACAGAACGGCUCAGAGUAAAAUUAUACCUUAUUAAUGAAAAAGGUAUUCCCCAAUUAUUUUCCGGAAUAGAUGCGUGUCCCAGGAAUUGUUUAUCCUUUGAUAGUAUUGUCUGAAGUUGUCACAGAUUUUUCUCGGUUGUUUUAAGAAAGAAAGGAAGGAAGGAAGAUCUUCAGGUAUCUCUUACUGAAAAGAAAAUCGCAGCAGGUUCCAUACAAAUAA